ensembl:lncRNA PCBP1-AS1 PCBP1 antisense RNA 1
GAACACAAAAUGGCGACACGUGGUUAGCAUUCGUCGCCAACGAGAAAUUGGGGUCGGCCCGAAAGCUCUAGAAUGCACCCCUCUUCCUCCCCGGGGCCUUCCACCUCCGCGAGUUUUAUGACUUAAAAAAGCCCACAGGCUGGUCUGAAGAGGAAGACAAACAUAAAGAUGAAGUGCUUAAUUCAAGGUCACACAAUGUCGGGGAUGGACCUCCAGAUUUCCUUACUGGUGAGACGUGGUCUUGUAACACAGUGGUUAAGAAUGUGACUUUGGAGCCAGCCUGCUAGGGGCUGAAUUCUGACUCAGCCAUUUACUAACUGUGUGACCUUAGGUGGAGUCUCACUCUGUAGCCCAAGCUGGAGUGGCGUGAUCUCGACUCACUGCAACCUCCGCCUCCUGGGAUCAAGUGAUUCUCGUGCCUCAGCCUCCUGAGUAGCCGGGACUACAGUUGUCCCUUGGUGUGGGAUUGCUUCCAGUACCUCUGUGUGUAACAAAAGCUGCACCAUUCAAGUCCCACAGUUGCCCUGCGAAACCUCUGUAUAUGAAAAGUUGGCCCUCCAUGUACAUGGGUUUCCCAUCCUGUCACAGAAUUUUCCACACUCCUUGACAGAGGUGCUUAACCCUUAUCCAUCAGCAUUCUCAGACAGCACCUCCGGUUAGGGACAGUAUCUGACCGUCCGACAUCCCUGCAGCCCCCAUGUGUCACACAGACUCAGCCUCAGGUAGAUGGUUUCCGUAGAUGGUGGCUUUCUUUGGACCCUUGACAUCAACCAGUUACUAUUUGCUCCUGCAACCACCGCUGUACUUUCUGUCUCUAUGAACUUGACUACUCUAGACACCUCAUGUAAGUAGAAUCAUAGAGUAUUUGUCCUUUUAUGUCUGGUUCUUUCACUUAGCAUAAUGUUUUCAAGAUUCAUCCAUGUUGUAGCAUGUGUCAGAACUUCAUUGCUUUUUACGGCUGAAUAAUAUUCCAUUGUGUAACUGUACCACAUGUUCAUCUGUUCAGCCAUGCGUGGGCGCUUGGGUUGUUUCUUCCUUUCAGCUAUUGCAAACCAAUAAUGCUGCUGUGAACAUGGGUGCGCAAAUAUCUGUUUGAAUCCCUGCUUUCAGUUCUUUUGGGUCUAUACCUAAAGAAGUGGAAUUGCUGCAUCAUAUGGUAAUUCUAUGUUUAACUUCUUGGGGAACCACCAUAUCAUUUUCCACAGUGGCUGUAUACUACUUUACAUACCCACUGGCAAUGCACACAGAUUCCAGUUUCUCCACAUUCUCCCCAUUGUGGCAGGGGUUUUAAACCUCUUCAUCACGGGUGCACCCCCGGAGACUAGGGCAGUGCCUGGCACAUUGUAGGUGCUUGAUAAGUAUUUGUUGGAUGAAUGAAUGGGAGGCCUUGGCCUCAGAGCAGCUGUACCUGGGCACUCUCCUACCUGAAGGUGGCACCCAGUCAGUAAGUGUCCUACCCACACAGGGUCCAAAGACCUUCCCAUUCCAGUCCCUGUUCAGCUCUGAGACAACCAUCCUUUAUUUGUUAUUUAUUUAUUUAUUGAAACAGGGUUUCACUGUGGUGCAGGCUGGAGUGCAGUGGCAAGAUCAUAGCUCACUACAGCCUCGAACUCAUGGGCUCAAGUGAUCUUCCCACCUCAGCCUCCCAAGUAGCUGGGACUACAGGCAUGUGCUGCCCGGCUAAAUUUUUUUUUUUUUUUUUUUUUUGUAGAGAUGAGGUCUCACUUUGUUGCCUGCACUGGUCUAGAGCUCCUGGCCUCAAGUGAUCCUCCUGCCUUGGCCUCCCAAAGCCCUGGGAUUACAGAUGUGAGCCACCACCCCGAACUGAUUUUUUUUUAACGUGAAUGUAAAAGUCCAUCCAGGGCAAAGAUAAGAGUCAAGAGGCCCAGAGGAAUGGGACUGAAGUGUCAGGGGCCAAGGAUAGCCCACCGUGGGUUUCCUGUGAUCCUGGGGCUUGGCUGUUUGGACCAGGGAUGAGGGAUAGGAGAAGGGAGACAGGAGAUGCCCAGAAGGAUGUAGCCUUGGGGAACAUCGCGGCUUCUGUGUCUGGUGCUGUAGUGAAAGAACCAGGAGGGGAUGGCGAUUGGCCUAGUGGUUUGCUGUGUUUCAGAACUCCUCCUCCCAAUGCCUUCCCCUCACUCAGGCCAGACUUCUCACGCAUUCCCACCCCUGCAUCUUCGUUCCGGCUGUUCCCUGAUCCCUUUUCCGGGAGCAGCAUUCCUACUCCUCCUUCCUAACCCAAGGUGGCUCAUCUCUCAAAGCCCAGAGGAAGGUGCACAUCCUCUGCAGGGCUUUCUCCACAGUUCUAAGCCCCCUCUCUGCCAGGCCCCAGACCCCACAAGGCAAGGCUGGGGUGGACAGCAUUGCAUAGUAUGUGUUGUGUACUGUGCGACAGGACGCCUCUUCAGCUCCAGCCAGAGCAGGCUGAGAGUCUGCCCACUAAGUGACCUCCCAGUCCUUUCCCACUCUCCUGGCUCACAGUGAGACGUGUGCACAGCUGGAACCACAAAUGUCCCAAUGGGUGUGAUCAAAGCAGACACAGCAAGGUGACACCUGGCCCAGCAGGGCAGCAGUUAGGGCCCCCUAGAAAGGGGUCUCAUGGUUCUCUUGUCCCCCACCAUCUGGAUUAAAGGGUCCCCAGGUCCUGAAGAGGAGCUGGUACUGCUAUCAGAACCCAGGGCAGCGCCUGUGGUCUGCUGCAUGAACGAGGGUCUGGGAAGUUGUCAUCCCACUUCCAGUGUGGGCUCCCUCCUGCUCAGCACUGCUGGGCUGGGGACACAGACCUGAGUUAUAGAGCCUUUGUAGGUGUUCCCACAUGGAUGUGCUGGUUUGGGAGGCCUUGACCUACCCCAGAGGGCAGCCCCUCAUGAGCAGAUUCCAUUCUGGGCAUACUUGUGUCUCUCUGAGCGAGGGGAGUGCUCACUGCUGCCUUCUCAGCUGCUAAGCAGAGGGGUUGCUGGGGAGGACCAUUCCCCCUGUUAGCUAAACUACCCACUGCCAUGUGUCCUGGGCCUCAUGUAGAUAGAGUUGCCCAUGCAGGAAGCAGGCUCAGCUAUGAAUCUACCUGAGGGCAGAGCUUUCUGCACUUGUGUCUUUUGAUUGGGAUUCAUAUUAGACGCCUUGCUUACUUGUUCAUGGGCAGGCAUAUAUGGAUGGGCACAUCUGUGUCCCACUCAACAGUCUGACAGGCCCCCUGCUCUGAGUCUCCAUAAGUCAAGGAUGACUGCUUCCUUCUCUGAGGUAUUCCCCCUGUCCCGACAGUGAGUUUUUAUUACUGCUUGCCACAUAGUCUGCGUUUUAAGUCUGGCCAUUCCAAACUUCCCCUCCAAAUUCGAUGAGCCGUCUUGCCAACUGUGAUUGCACAAUGCCGAGACGGGUGAGCAGAAACGGUUGUGCUUACGUAGGUGUGUGGUUCUUUGUGAUUUCUGUGGCUAACACUGCCAUCUGCUUCAUGUCCAGGGCUGGGUUCCAUGUCUGUCUGAGCUCUUCACCACCUCGUCUACAGCAGUCUGUGACCCAAGGUAGUAAUUGCUUAAUAAGGCUCAUGGUCUCAGGCGCCAGAAAGUUGUAUUCAUCUUUCUAUCCUGGACCUGCACAGGAAGUCAGUGCCCCAUAUGCAUUUGUUGAAUGGAAGGAAUUUUAAACUUCUUGAAGUUUCCCUUUCUUACUAGUUCUAUAUCUCAGCCCAGCCCAGAGCUGAGCCCAUAACAGGGCUGAUGGGUUGGCCAAUGGAUGGAACUGCUGAAAAGUUUCCUAAGUCUAAGUGGAUUUUGAUCCCCAAGGACACAAAGAAACCCAAAGGCUUGACACAACCAAGUAUCUGGAGUGACUGUUGGUGAAAGGCCAGGGCCCAUCACAUGUGAGCCAUGAUCAUGGGGCCAUGGGAAGGGGAUUUAGUG